UUAAAAAACAACCAUGCAAAACCCUCACAUGUAGUCAAGAUGGGAAAACCUUUAUCCUCAAUAUAUACAUUUUUUUUUUAUCGUAGUGUGAUUGUUUGAUAUCAAAAUUUGGCAAAUCAUUGAGUCAAUAAGCCACAACUAAAGGUGCAGAGCCUUAAUAACCAUCAUUAAAAUGAGAAAUGACAAUUUCUUAAAAUACAAUUGCAAAUCAAAUUUCAGAAGUUUUUC
rnacentral:lncRNA from 1 species